rnacentral:rRNA from 1 species
GACGAACGCUGGCAGCGUGCUUAACACAUGCAAGUCGAGCGGUAAGGCCCUUUCGGGGGUACACGAGCGGCGAACGGGUGAGUAACACGUGGGUGACCUGCCCUCAGCUCUGGGAUAAGCCUGGGAAACCGGGUCUAAUACCGGAUAUGACUCCAUGACGCAUGUUGUGGGGUGGAAAGCCUUGUGCGGCUGAGGAUGGGGCCCGCGGCCUAUCAGCUUGUUGGUGGGGUGAGGCCUACCAAGGCGACGACGGGUAGCCGGCCUGAGAGGGCGACCGGCCACACUGGGACUGAGACACGGCCCAGACUCCUACGGGAGGCAGCAGUGGGGAAUCUUGCGCAAUGGGCGAAAGCCUGACGCAGCGACGCCGCGUGAGGGAUGACCGGCCU